AAGUCGUAACAAGGUUUCCGUAGGUGAACCUGCGGAAGGAUCAUUACUGAUUUGCUUAAUUGCACCACAUGUGUCUUUAUUAGUAUUGUUGCUUUGGCGGCAGGAGUAAAAUCUUACCGCCAGAGGUUCUUAUAAACUCAAUUUAACUUUAUUUUAUUAUACAAACGAUUAUAUAUUUUAUAAAUAGUCAAAACUUUCAACAACGGAUCUCUUGGUUCUC
rnacentral:misc_RNA from 1 species